AUAUAAUUAAUUAAUAUUAAACCUUCUCAAAACUGGUACAAACAAGGGGAAUCUGAAUGUUUAAUUAAAACAAAGCAUUGCGAUGGUUCCUGCAGAUGUUAACACAAUGUGAUUUAUACUCAGUGCUCUACAUGUGAAAGUGAAGAAAUUCAACCAAGAAUGGGUAAAUGGCGGGAGUAACUAUGACUCUCUUAAGGUAGUCAGAUGCCUCGUCAUCUAAUUACUGAUAUGCAUGAAUGGAUUAACAAGAUUCCCAUUUUCCCUAGCUAAUAUCUAGAGAAACCACAGCCAAGGGAACUGGAUUGGAAGAAUCAGUGGGGAAAGAAGACCUUAUUGAGCUUGACUCUAGUCUAACUUUGUGAAAUGAAUUGAGAGGUGUAGAAUAAGUGGGAGUUAUUUUUGGCGUAAGUGAAAUACCACAACUUUUAACAUUAUUUUACAUAUUUUGUCGGGCGGAGAUAAUGCAUUGCACAUAUGUUAAAAGAUAAUGCACAUUUACUCAAAGUGUUUUCAUUGAUGGAAAUGGUCGAGAGAUCAUUCUUCAUGCACUUGAUGGAAAUGAGUUUAGGAAACCAAAGAGGAUCAAUGCUUUUAAGGACGAAGAAAGUUCCUACAAUCCCCACUAAGGCCAAGCCCAUGGAAUCUCUAACCCAUUGAAUUAAUAU
rnacentral:ncRNA from 1 species